AGAUUAAGUUAUUAAGGGCGCACGGUGGAUGCCUUGGCACUAGAAGCCGAAGAAGGACGUUACUAACGACGAUAUGCUUUGGGUAGCUGUAAGUAAGCGUUAAUCCAGAGAUUUCCGAAUGGGGGAACCCAACAUGAGUUAUGUCAUGUUAUCGACAUGUGAAUUCAUAGCAUGUCAGAAGGCAGACCCGGAGAACUGAAACAUCUUAGUACCCGGAGGAAGAGAAAGAAAAAUCGAUUCCCUGAGUAGCGGCGAGCGAAACGGGAAGAGCCCAAACCAACAAGCUUGCUUGUUGGGGUUGUAGGACACUCUAUACGGAGUUACAAAAGAACAUGUUAGACGAAUCAUCUGGAAAGAUGAAUCAAAGAAGGUAAUAAUCCUGUAGUCUAAAACAUAUUCUCUCUUGAGUGGAUCCUGAGUACGACGGAGCACGUGAAAUUCCGUCGGAAUCUAGGAGGACCAUCUCCUAAGGCUAAAUACUCUCUAGUGACCGAUAGUGAACCAGUACCGUGAGGGAAAGGUGAAAAGUACCCCGGAAGGGGAGUGAAAGAGAACUUGAAACCGUGUGCUUACAAGUAGUCAGAGCCCGUUUAUGGGUGAUGGCGUGCCUUUUGUAGAAUGAACCGGCGAGUUACGAUCUGAUGCAAGGUUAAGCAGCGAAUGUGGAGCCGUAGCGAAAGCGAGUCUGAAUAGGGCGUUGAGUAUUUGGUCGUAGACCCGAAACCAGGUGAUCUACCCUUGGUCAGGUUGAAGUUCAGGUAACACUGAAUGGAGGACCGAACCGACUUACGUUGAAAAGAGAGCGGAUGAACUGAGGGUAGCGGAGAAAUUCCAAUCGAACUUGGAGAUAGCUGGUUCUCUCCGAAAUAGCUUU
rnacentral:rRNA from 1 species